GAUGAACGCUGGCGGCGUGCCUAAUACAUGCAAGUCGAGCGAACAGACGAGGAGCUUGCUCCUCUGACGUUAGCGGCGGACGGGUGAGUAACACGUGGAUAACCUACCUAUAAGACUGGGAUAACUUCGGGAAACCGGAGCUAAUACCGGAUAAUAUAUUGAACCGCAUGGUUCAAUAGUGAAAGACGGUUUUGCUGUCACUUAUAGAUGGAUCCGCGCCGCAUUAGCUAGUUGGUAAGGUAACGGCUUACCAAGGCAACGCUGCGUGGCCGACCUGAGAGGGUGAUCGGCCACACUGGAACUGAGACACGGUCCAGACUCCUACGGGAGGCAGCAGUAGGGAAUCUUCCGCAAUGGGCGGAAGCCUGACGGAGCAACGCCGCGUGAGUGAUGAAGGUCUUCGGAUCGUAAAACUCUGUUAUUAGGGAAGAACAAAUGUGUAAGUAACUAUGCACGUCUUGACGGUACCUAAUCAGAAAGCAACGGCUAACUACGUG
rnacentral:rRNA from 1 species